AAUUACUGCCAUACGACCCUGAACGUACCCGAUCUUGUCUGAUCUUGGAAGCUAAGCACGGUUGGGCCUGGUUAGUACUUGGAUGGGAGAAAUUAUCAUUAUAAUUU
rnacentral:rRNA from 1 species